rnacentral:lncRNA from 1 species
UUUAUCAAGGUCAAAAUUGGUCUCGAAGUUGCUGCACGUCCUUAGCCUGCAAUACGUGGAUUUGACUCGGUCAAUUUUCAGAAGUUUCCAGAUUUGAUGCACGAAAAUCCCAGCUGGAAACACCACUUUCCCAGUUAUAUUAGGACUUUAUUUUAUUUUUUGUAAUUAGUCAGAUUUGAAUAUUUGUUAGGAGAUUUUUUUGGAAGGGAUAAAGGUGAAAGAAAGGGGGCUGAAAAGGGGGCUCUUUCUCUUUUCUCUUGGAGGACUCCUCUUUCUCUUUUCUCCUUGGAAGUUUGCAUCCAUGGCUCUGCGUGGCUAAAGCUUUUAUUGGUCUAAGGAAACAGAAGCCUCGGAAUCAAUAAAACUGUGAGAUCUGAAUUUAUUUUCAUUGUUCAAUUCAUGCUUUGAUGUCGAAUGUCCUUCUGUGCAUAUUUUUAUGAUUGUUUUCGUUUAAUUACUAGGAGGCCUACUAGUUUAUUAUUCGUUGCAAUCUAUUGCUAGGUUAGAUAUCAAAUCCGUAAUUGUUUGAUCCCUCUAAUCUGUGAAGCAACUAAGAUCUAAUAAUUUGCUACGUCAGAAAUUUCAGAUCUUACGAAGAAUACUCGUCUAAAUCAAAUGCAACCGCUUGUGUUUGUGUUGUUUAGUUUCAUCGAUCUCUCUAAUUCUUAAGGCUGCUACUAGAUUAAACCUUUAGCGCUUGUCUUGGGUUGUUUAGUAGUUAG